CUACAGGCUUAACACAUGCAAGUCGAGGGGCAGCAUUUUAGUUUGCUUGCAAACUGAAGAUGGCGACCGGCGCACGGGUGAGUAACACGUAUCCAACCUGCCGAUAACUCCGGAAUAGCCUUUCGAAAGAAAGAUUAAUACCGGAUAGCAUACGAAUAUCGCAUGAUAUUUUUAUUAAAGAAUUUCGGUUAUCGAUGGGGAUGCGUUCCAUUAGUUUGUUGGCGGGGUAACGGCCCACCAAGACUACGAUGGAUAGGGGUUCUGAGAGGAAGGUCCCCCACAUUGGAACUGAGACACGGUCCAAACUCCUACGGGAGGCAGCAGUGAGGAAUAUUGGUCAAUGGGCGAGAGCCUGAACCAGCCAAGUAGCGUGAAGGAUGAAGGCUCUAUGGGUCGUAAACUUCUUUUAUAUGGGAAUAAAGUUUUCCACGUGUGGAAUUUUGUAUGUACCAUAUGAAUAAGGAUCGGCUAACUCCGUGCCAGCAGCCGCGGUAAUACGGAGGAUCCGAGCGUUAUCCGGAUUUAUUGGGUUUAAAGGGAGCGUAGGUGGAUUGUUAAGUCAGUUGUGAAAGUUUGCGGCUCAACCGUAAAAUUGCAGUUGAAACUGGCAGUCUUGAGUACAGUAGAGGUGGGCGGAAUUCGUGGUGUAGCGGUGAAAUGCUUAGAUAUCACGAAGAACUCCGAUUGCGAAGGCAGCUCACUAGACUGUCACUGACACUGAUGCUCGAAAGUGUGGGUAUCAAACAGGAUUAGAUACCCUGGUAGUCCACACAGUAAACGAUGAAUACUCGCUGUUUGCGAUAUACAGUAAGCGGCCAAGCGAAAGCAUUAAGUAUUCCACCUGGGGAGUACGCCGGCAACGGUGAAACUCAAAGGAAUUGACGGGGGCCCGCACAAGCGGAAGAACAUGUGGUUUAAUUCGAUGAUACGCGAGGAACCUUACCCGGGCUUAAAUUGCAACAGAAUAUAUUGGAAACAGUAUAGCCGUAAGGCUGUUGUGAAGGUGCUGCAUGGUUGUCGUCAGCUCGUGCCGUGAGGUGUCGGCUUAAGUGCCAUAACGAGCGCAACCCUUAUCUUUAGUUACUAACAGGUUAUGCUGAGGACUCUAGAGAGACUGCCGUCGUAAGAUGUGAGGAAGGUGGGGAUGACGUCAAAUCAGCACGGCCCUUACGUCCGGGGCUACACACGUGUUACAAUGGGGGGUACAGAAGGCGGCUACCUGGUGACAGGAUGCUAAUCCCAAAAACCUCUCUCAGUUCGGAUCGAAGUCUGCAACCCGACUUCGUGAAGCUGGAUUCGCUAGUAAUCGCGCAUCAGCCAUGGCGCGGUGAAUACGUUCCCGGGCCUUGUACACACCGCCCGUCAAGCCAUGAAAGCCGGGGGUACCUGAAGUACGUAACCGCAAGGAGCGUCCUAGGGUAAAACUGGUAAUUGGGGCUA
rnacentral:rRNA from 1 species